rnacentral:lncRNA from 1 species
UCACAUUCCCAAAUAUUUGCUUGUACCUGAACAGGAACACCAAAAUUAAUGAAAGGCAGUGUCAUGUAGUGGAAAGGGAGUGAGCUGGGAGUUGGGUCUUUUUCAAAUCUUGGCUCUGAUACCUGUGCUGUUUGACCUUAGCCUGCCUCUUAGCCCUCCCAGGUCAUCAGUUUCAUCUGCCAUAAAAUAAGGCAAUUACUUUUUUCCAAACGUCAGUCAUGUAAGCCCCAUCUUCACUAUGUUUCCCAUGUUGACAUAUGCCACAUUGUGAUUUUUGUCACAUCUACAUGUCAUCUGCACUAUUUACAUUUGUAGUUACAGUUUUCUCACUUCCUCACAUUUUUUUCUUGAAAUUGACUUUAAAAAGGAAAUUUUAGGCUGGGCGCUGUGGCUCAUGCCUGUAAUCCCAGCACUUCGGGAGGCCGAGGCGGGUGGAUCACCUGAGGUCAGGAGUUCGAGAGCAGCCUGGCCAACAUGGUGAAACCCUGUCUCUACUAAAAAUACGAAAAUUAGCUAUGCGUGGUGGCACACACCUACAGUCCCAGCUACUUGGGAGGCUGAAGCAGGAGAAUCACUUGAACCCAGGAGGCAGAGGUUGCAGUGAGCCAAGAUCGUGCCACUACACUCUAGCCUGGGAGACAGAGCAAGAGUGUCUCAAAAAAAAAAAAAAAAAAAGGAAAUUUUAUAGGAUUACUAUGGAUAGAAAUCACUGUCGGUUGUCUGAACAGAGGUAGUCAUGAACAUAAAUAAAAUAAAGGAGAAUGAUGCUUUUAAUUAUCUCUGGAAAGUGCUGCCUGUUGAGGACUGGCCGCCUGAGAUUCACCCUCUCCUUUUGAAGCAGGGAGAUUAGUAAAUGGUAGCAGUGUUGAGGACAUCCCAACAUCCACCUGAGAUUUUCCUCUUUUCUAAUCAAAAAGAUUGAAAGACAACUUAAAAGAGAAUAACUUCUCACUACAGAACUCAAAGUUAAUAUCCUACUGUAUCACCUAAAUUAUCUCAAUACUCCCGUGGGGUAGGAAACAACUGAUAGUAUCUAAGGUCUUCUCCCACACUGAUAUCCCAUUUUUGCCUUCCUAUAGAGAAAGGACGAUCAUAAUUAGUAGAAAAUCUGAGUUACGGACUAUUCUGAGAAAAAAAUGUCGUUCAAUAUCCAAACAGAAAUGUUGUCAAAACAUUUUCCAAUUAGAAGGACCUUGAAUAUACAUUAAUAAGUAGAUAGAAAUGAUUUGAGAUUUGCACGGUCAUCAUAUAUUUUAAAAUAAACACUUCCAAAUGAUUUGGCAGUGCCUGAACCAUUGUUCAUCCUCUUGAGUAACUUAAACACCACCCCCCUAAAAUCUUGUUUACACCGUUGAUUUGCUUAAUGAGGCAUUUUGUCAGGCAGUAUAUAAAUUUAACCAGAGCCUAUGUCAUCAAAUUAGCACAGCUUCAAAAUCAGUGAAGUUCAAAUGACUCAUGAUAUCAGAGAUAUUAUUACAAAAACAAAUAUCAGUGGAUGUUUUGACCAUAUAUUCAUUAUAAUGAAUUAGUCGGAUUGACACAGCAAAGCCUUCAUUAUAGGACUCUCCAAGGGAGUUAUUUCUUUGGAACCAUUUAAAUAUAAUACUUGUCCUAAUUGGACAGAUAUCAAAUGAGGGAAAAAGCCUUCAAAUAUCUCUGAAUGAUCUUAGAUUAAUUGAUACAUGUAGCCUUUCGACUGUAGCAGAAUAUUCACUAAUCUUAGUUUUUUUCUUUCCUAAGUUUUUGCCUUUUUGCUUUUGCUACUUUAUGUGAUCUUGGGAAAGUUCCUUUCUCUUUCUGGAAUUAAUAUCCACAUUUGUUUUUAAAAGGGGUUGGAAGUUGGACUGGAGCAGAAGUUAGCAUACUUUUUCUGUGAAAGAGCAGAUAGUAAAUAUUUCCAGCUUCAUAGGCCAUCUGGUCUGUUACAACUCAGUCAUUGUAGCAAGAAAGCAACUGCAGGCAAUAUGUAAAUGAAUGAGCCUGGCUGUGUCCCAAUAAAACUUUAUUUACAAAAACAGAUUGUGGGCCAGAUUUGGCCCAUGGGCCCAUAGUUUGCCUUUCUUGGGCUAGAGGAUCUCUAACUUCCAGCCCUGACAUUGUCUUUGUGUUGAAGGGAAGACACUUGCCCAAAGUCUAUCAUUUGACAGAGCUGGGAUUGAAACCUGGGUCUCUAAAUUUAAGUUCACAAAUCAUUUCCCACAACAGAAUACCUGACCAACCAACAAACCUGCAACUACAAGACAGGACAUCAAGUGUCUCCACAGAGAAUGGAAAGAAUUGCUAUUACCAUGUCAGGCACAAUUACUUUAAAAUUACUUUAGCAGAAAGUCAUUAGAUUCCAUGAUUAAGGUGGCAUUAAGUUUUUCCUCUAUUGCCAAGAAAUGUAUCAGACUGGAAGAAAAAACUUGAGAAGGACAGGGGUGGUGGGGGCAGCUUUGGAUAUUCAUAAAAGUCCUACACUGAAACGAAAACUAUUUCUUAUUCACCCCACAUGGGAACAGCACAAUAUGGUAUAUAACAAAGCACUUUCAUAUGUGUUGUUUGAUUUAAUUGUCACAACAUCUCUGUGAUGUAGGACUCAAAGGCUCUGAGUAACUACGGUCACUUAGUAACUGACAUCAGAGGCAGGAAACAAUGGUUUAUGCUAUGCUUGCAUUUCAUUCAUCCACUCAUUCGCUUGUCUAUUCAUCCAUUUAGACAAAUAUUUGACAGACAAUUGACAAGGCAGGGGAUAAGCAGUUAAAUUAAACCACAUUGUUCCUGCCCUCAUGCAGCUUACAGUCCAGUGGGGGAAAGAGACAAUGAACAAAAAAAUAAACCAUUAACUAAGUAAGUAUCAACAGUACUAAGAAGGUGCUAAGAAGAAAACAAACAUGGAGAAAGGAUACAGGAUUGAGGUGGGAGCUUCCUCAGGUACAGGGGUCAGAAGAGGCUUAGGAAGAAGAGAGUUUGUAGCUGAGCUAGGAAGGUUGGGAAGAAGCCAUGGAAAAAGGAGAAGAACUUGAUUGGUUCAAGGAAUUAAAAAAAAAAAAAAAAGUCUGGGUGUUGGAGUCAAAGAGCUGACAUCCAGUUAGGUCAUUCCCCAAUGUGAGCCCCAGGCUUGCCAUCAACAGAAUGGAAAUGCCAACACCUUCCAGGGAUGAAGCCACAUUGCUGGGAUUCAGGUCCUCUCCUUUUUUAACACGUUAGUCCGUUUUCACAUGGCUAUAAAAAGACUACCCAAGAUUGGGUAAUUUAUAAAGGAAAGAGGUUUAAUUGACUCAUAGUUCCAUGUGGCUGGGGAGGCCUCAAGAAACUUAAAAUCAUAACAGAACACAAAGAAAAAUCAAGUACCCUUUUCACAAGGUGGUAGGAAAGAGAAAAAUGAAGGAGGAACUUCCAAACAGUUACAAAACCAUCAGAUGUUGUGAGAACUCACCAUCACGAGCCAAUCACCCCCCCUCUCUCAACACGUGGGGGUUACAAGUUCCUUCCUCGACAUGUGGGAAUUACAAUUUGACAUGAGAUUUGGGUAGGGACAGAGACCCAAACUAUAUCACAUGAAUACAAGACCAGUAGCAAGUUACUUAACUAUCUUAUGACUCCAUUAGCUUGCCUAAAAACCGGCAUGAUAAUAAUGAUACCUACACCUCACUGGUAGGUGGUGGUAGAGGUUUAAUGAGAUCACCCUGUAAAGCAUUAAGCAUAGCGCCUGGUAUCCAGUAAGUACUUAAUAAACAUAGAUUGCUGUGGGGAUUAGAAAAAUAAUGAGGAGGAAAGUGAAUCUUUUUUAAACUACUCUAUGCCCAGACUGUAUUAAGUGAUUAUUUUCAUUAUCCUCACAGUCCUAUGUUACAAGUAAAGGAUAAAUGUAUUCCUAACCCAAAGUCACAUUAUGAUAAAUAGUGAGAUCAGGAUCUAGUUCAGGUCUAGAUGAUUUCAUAGGCCACAAUUUACCUGGUCUUUCACUGUUAUUCCAAGGAAACAUCAGAGGUCCAGUUCUGCCCUACAGAGAAAGCCACCCACCCCGUGCUGGUGCCUGAAGAGCGAAGAUUCUGGUGGAGGGGCUACAGUUCUGUUCAGAGUAAACAGGGCAGCCAUCUAGGCUUGUGAAAAGGGCUCCCUGUACAAGCAGGAUCCAGGAUCCAUCCAUCAUCCCAGUCUCCAUUGUCCAUCCCUGUCUCUAUCCAUCAUCACUAUCUUCAUCCGUCCAUCCCAGUCCCCAUCCAUCCGUCCCAGUCCCCAUCAUCCAUCCCAGGGUCCAUCCAUUUAUCACAGCUUCUAUCCAUCUAUCACAGUCUCUGUCCAUCCAUCCCAGUAUCUAUCCAUCAUCAGUCUUCAUCGAUCCAUCCCAGUCUCCAUCCAUCCAUCCCAGUCCCCAUCAUCCAUCCCAGUGUCCAUCCAUUUACCAGUCUCUAUCCAUCCAUCAGUCUCUGUCCAUCCAUCCCAGUCUCUAUUCAUUUAUCACUGUCUUCAUCCAUCCAUGCAAGUCUCUGUCCAUCCAUCCCAGUCUCCAUUGUCCAUCCCAGUGUCUGUCUACUUACCAAUCUCUAAUCUAUCCCUCAGUUUCCAUCCAUCCUUCCAUCCCAGUCUGUAUCAUCCAUCCCAGUCUCUUUCCAUUUAUCACUGUCUCCAUCCACCCAACCCAGUUUCCAUAGUCCAUCCUAGUCUCUUUCCAUCUGGCAUAGUCUCUAUCCAUUUAUCCCAGUCUCUGUUCAUCCACCACAGUCUCCAUCCAUCCAUCACUGUCUGUCUGUCCUUCACAGUCUCCAACAGAUGUCCCCUGUCAGUCAAGUAAGCCAAGCAUCUUCCCUUCUAGGGCUUCCUGUGCUAUUUAGUCUCCCCCUUCUACAAAUAAGGACUCUAAGGCUCAGAGAACUGACAUGAACAGCUUGGACAUCAUACAAAAGGGAAAUGGCAAAGUCUGAAUUCAAAACCAGAUCAACUUGAUCCAAAAUCUACAUCCUUUGACACUUUGUCAUGAAGUUUCUCCUUAACGACAGAAAACACUUGGGGUAGUACGUGGCAUUUUAGGGACUUCACAUUUUAAUGAAUAUGAUAGAAGAUGAGAGAAGAAGAGAGGAGAGAAGGCAGUAGGAUACGGUAGGAUAGAACAGAGCAGAAAGUAUUUUCCAUCACAGAACAAAAAUGUGGCUAAUAAAGUUAUCUGAUGAAUUAUAUCAGAUUUUUCCCCUUUCCACUUUCCUUUCUAAACUUUAGUUCUACCCAUCUACCCCAUAAAGGUGCUCCUGUGAACCUCCCUGCAUAUGCUUAAAGAAUUAAGUGAAUAGCAUUUUCAUAUCUGUAGAAUCUCCAAAGAAUUCUAUUAAGAGCCACCACUGGCCGGGAGCAGUGGCUCACGCCUGUAAUCCCAGCACUUUGGGAGGCCCAGGUAGGUGGAUCACCUGAGGUCAGGAAUUCAAGACCGGCCUGGCCAACAUGGUGAAACUCCAUCUCUACUAAAAAUGCAAAAAAAUUAGCUGGGCAUGGUGGUGAUACCUGUAAUCCCAGCUACUCAGGAGGCUGAGGCAGAAGAACCACUUGAACCUGGGAGGCGGAGGUUGCAGUGAGGCAAGAUUGCGCCGCUGCACUCCAGCCUGGAUGACAGUGAGACUCCAUCUUAAAAAAAAAAAAAAAGCCAUCACUUAUUGAGUGCCUACUAUGAGCCAGGCACUAUACAAGGUAUUUUCCCAACCUUGUUCAUAAAACACCUCUAAAAUGGACAACAUUAGCCCCAUUGUACACAACGAAACAAAGCUCAGAGUAGUUAGGGUUCCACAGUCACAGACAAAAGUCCCGAGUAGAGAUCUGUCCCUGGACCUAAUUCUAAAACUCCUGUUCUUUGUACUCUGUUCAGCUGUCUGUCAAGAAAUCAAUGGGGUUCACUUCAGUUAGGGAGUAACUGUGACCUGGUCAUGGGGAGGGAAGCAAAUCCUCAUCAGAAGCCCCUCCAGAGCACCAUGGGAGGACCACCUGGGAAAGCUGUACACCAGUGCGACUCCAUGUAGUCCCCCAAACGGCAGCAGCAGCAUCACCUGGAGGCUGGUUAGAAAUCACAUUUGUGGACCCCACUCAGACCCACUGAAUCAGCAGCACUUCUGAGUCUGUCGGCAAGCUCUCCAGCUGCUCUGAUGCCUGCUAAACUUUGCGAACCUCUGCUGAACACAGCCUCGCAUUGUGAUCAGUGGCAAGAAACAACACUGGCCAACCACAGAUUGAGAAAAUUAGACAUGGAAAAACAUGCAUCUUCCUCCAAGGACUCAGAGUUCCCUGUGGAAUGGGAAACUGAACCCAGAAAGCUUCAUUUCAGGUUCUGCUCCACAAUUAAGAGUUCCUCCAUCCUUGCAGUGUGAAGGAAUAGAGGCUAGCAAAUUAGAAUAUUCACUGGCAAAGCUGGCAAAUUAGACUAUUCACUGGCAAAGCCAGACCUGCUUUAGAAAACUGUGGACCCCAGUGAACCCUCACUGCACCCUCACUGCAUCCUCAGUUCAUUGUGGAUUUUCUAUCUGGCCCCCAAGGAUCUAGUAGUAAAUAAGAUAAAGUCCCUGCUGUCCAGACUGUAGCAGCCUACAACUAUAGGGGAUGCCAUUUGCAUCCUGUGUGAGCCUGUGUAACUCACACUGGGGAAUUUCUUCCUUAGGGCAGAUUCCUUUCCUUCCUCUAGAGGGCAGGUAAAUAGAACUAAAGGCCAGGAGCACGCUGAAGGAUGCAUGCAUCUUCAUGGCUGUUGCUACCAUAAUAUUACUACUGAUAAAAGAAAAACAUCAGUCAAAUUAAUUUUAAAGGAGUUUAAUUGAGGAAUGAACAAUUCAUGAAUUGGGCAGCCCCCAGAGUCACAGUAGAUUCACAGAGACUCCACCACAGCCACGUGGAGGAAGAAGAUUUAUAGGCAAAAAAAAGGGAAAUGUAUAACAUACAGAAAUCAGCAGUGAAGUACAGAAACAGCUGGAUUGGUUACAGGUUGGCACUUGCCUUAUUUGAACACAGUUUGAACACUCAGCAGUCUUUGAGUGGCUGAAGUAUGGCUGCUGGGAUUGGCAAAGACUCAGUGAUUGUUACAAGUGCAUACUCUUAAGUUAGGUUUUCAAUCUUGUCUGACUAUUAAGCUAGGUUACAGUUCAUCUACAAGCACUCAGAUAUAAGACUAUGGAGUCCUUCUCAGGCCGUAUUUAGUUUGCUUUAACACUGCAUUUUUCUCCCAAGACAUUUUACCAAUUUUCACUACUAGCAGAGAUAGCAAAUGUAUCAUUUUCAACAGAAACUCAUCAGCAUUGAGUGCUAACAUUUUUUUUCAAACAUGUGCCAAUUGAAUUAGUUUACAACAGUCCCUGGAGACAAGCUAUGGAUUUAAAUACGCUCCCUGGCAGUCUUACUCUUCCCUCAGAGGCUUCUUUCAGUAUAUGAGAUGAUACUGUCUGUUGUGGACUGAAUGAGUCCCACUCCAAAGUUCUUAUGUUGUAUUCCUAACCCCCAAUGUUAUGGUAUUAGGAGGUAGCAACUCUGGGAGGUAAUCAGGUCAUAAGAGUGGAGCUCUCACAAAUGGGAUUAGUGCCCUUAUAAAAAGAUACAAAAGAGUUUGUUUCCACUAGGCGUGGUGGCUUAUGCCUGUAAUCCCAGCACUUUGGGAGGCGGAGGCAGGCAGAUCACCUGAAGUCAGGAGGUCAAGACCAGCUUGACCAACAUGGAGAAACCCCAUCUUUACUAAAAAUACAAAAUUAGGCAAGCAUGGUGAUACACGCCUGUAAUCCCAGCUACUCGGGAGCCUGAGGCAGAAGAAUUGCUUGAACCCAGGAGGUGGAGGUUGUGGUGAGCCAAGACUGUGCCACUGCACUCCAGCCUGGGUGACAAGAGCAAAAGUCCAUCUCAAGGGAAAAAAAAAAAAAAAAAAAGACUGUUUCAUCUCUCUCUCUCUCUCUCUCUCUGCCCUCCACCAUGUAAGGAUACAAUGAGAAGGUCAUCUGCAAACCAGAAAGUGGCCCUCACCAGACACUGGACCUGCCAGUGCCUUGCUCUUGGACUUUCCGCCCUCUAGAACUAUGAGAAAUGUUUGCAUUAAGCCACCUAGUCUAUGGUAUUCCAUUAUAGAAGUCCAAACUAACUAAGACAGACACUCUCAGAUGAUGAAUGUGAAACCACCUUUGCAAAAGUUCUAUCAGUGAGAAGAUUGUAACACUAAGCUAAGCUAAACUAACCCAAACCCCAUCUAGCCUUUCCCUUAGUUAUUCCUGGGCUACUGGGCCAAGCUAACUCUGAAAGGUACUUAGGCUAUAGUUUAAAAUGAUAACAGGCCUUGCCUAAAACUCAACCACUUUUGUAAAGCUAAUGGGAGGCCAUCAGGCUGUGCGCAGGAAAGGAGUCUGAAUCCUGUUAAGGUGCAGACAUUAUUCCAGAGAUUACAACAUAUGCAGCUUCCCCAAUUACUCCUGCAAAUAACAACACUGCUGUAGAUUGGCCUUUUGGGAUACCUUUCCAGGUUUUUUGCAUGUCUGACACCCAUGGCUCCACCGGGAUAAGCUUCUGUUGUCCCCACCCAGAAGCAAUUUGGCCCACAAGAGGACAGUUUUAACCCUCUAUGAUUUCCUCUCCACCCCCAACCAAUCAGCAACAAGCACCUGUUACCUGGCCACCCUCACCCUUUCCUUCAAACCACCUUUGAAAAACCCCUAACCUAUGCACGAGAUGACUUGAGUACAAAACUCCGUCUCUCAUGUGGCAUGGCUAGUCUAUGUCUCUUAAACUCUUUCUCCACUACAAUGCCAUGGUCUUUCUUUAUCCAAUGGGCAAGAGAACCCCUCAGGCAGUUACAAAUGUCAGAGUUAAAACAGGACACUGAUAUAGCUGAAUGGUCUUCCUAGAACGUAAGGCAGGAGAAGGGUCUCCCACUAGGGUUUAAGUUUUCUCUGUGGAAUAAUAUGGAUCCUCGUGUUGGACAUGAAAAGGAAGGAGAAAGAGAGCAGCAUCCUCCAAAAACUCUGACCAUCCAGGCAGCACCUUGCUCCCCAGGAGGAGCUGGCUCUCUUCUUACCCAUCAUUGGCUCCCUAUCCCCUCAGGAGCCCCCACUCCAAGCUAGACACAUCCUCCUUGGGCAGGUCUUUCCUGACCUCCAUCCAGAAGGCAGGGCUGGAGGCUCCCCCACCAUCCCUCCUUGCUGGAGCAGACCUUGACUGAGGCCCUUUGCUGUAGGAAUAGUGAACUUGCCUUUUCUCCUGGGUAUUCCCUAUCAGACCAAGAAGGCCAGGACCUGUGCUCAGCUGCCUCAUGUCCCCAGCAGUGACACGUUCCUGGCUCAGCACAGGUGCUCAGCCAAUGUUUGCAUAACCCAAUGCAGCAGAAGGCUCAGAAAGAGAAUAGAUACUCUGGGCAAAUUGGUAAUAGAAGGUAAGUCACCGUCACCAGCCUAAUGUGAUCCUUGCCAAUCUAGUCCUUCAGGAAUCCCCAGUGAACUCCAGAUUCCUGGUGAUACGGGAACUAGAAAGAAAUUACUCAGGCAGAUAGUGAGGGUAAAAGAGUCCUCGGCAGAAUUUCCCUUUUAACAAAAAGCAGCCUCAAAAUCCUUUCUUUUCUAACAAAGAGCAGCCUGAAAAAUUGAGCUCCAGACAUAGAUAAGCAAGCUGGAAGCCUGCACAGGUGAAUGCUGGCAGCUGUGUCAAUAGAAAAGUGCUACCUGGGGGCCAGGCAUGUUCAACAUGGAGGCACCAUCUUCUCUUUUGCCACCACGUGUACUGUAAAGAAACAACAUGGCGCCAACCAGGCAGAGAACCAUUUGCAAGACAAAAGAUUAGGGUGAGGGCAGCCAGAAACUCACACCCUAUGCAAAUGAAACACCUGGUCCAACCAAUCCUUUGCACCCUGUGUAAAUCAGACACUGCCUCCUCAGGCUCAUCUAUAAAACCUCCUACAUUUCACAGUGAAAGCAACAACCCACUUCUCCAGGACCCCUCUCUGCUGCAGAGAGCUCUUCUCUUUCGCCCAUUAAACUUCCACUCUGAACCUCACUAUGUGUCCACGUCCUAGUUUUCCGUGACUGUGACACAACGAAUCUUGGGUAUCAUCUCCAAACAACAACACUGCUUCACUGGGCUCCCUUAACUUCAGGAGCUCAGCAACAUCAGCAGGUCAUUUAAUCCCAACCACUCUCCUUUUAUUUUCAGAUGUCCUUAAUUCAGACUCUGCUGCUAUUCACUGAGGUUCUUCAAGUUCUCACAUUAUUGUGUUCCCUUUUCUAACCCUACCCUAAUCCUACAUUUCAGAAUAGAAAAACGUAUUUUACAAUUCUUGGGCUUCAGAAGAAAUAAAAACAGUCUCAUAUUUCAUGAGCACUUUGCACAGUACUACCUUCGUCUCAAUCCUCAAAAACAACCCUGAGCAGUGGGUUAUUAUUAUCCCAUUUUACAGGCAGGGGCUAGGUUACCUGCCUGCAUUCACACAGCCAGUAAUUGGCAGGUAGGAUUUAAAUCCUGGCAGGCCCUGCCCCAAGUCAUGGGCUCUUUCCUCCAUAUUCUUGCUGCAAUCAACAUCAAAUACCUGACAACUCUCCUUUAGCUUGGUCACUGGCUUCCAUGAGAAUACCAGUACCUUCUCAUGGCAUGUUGUCCUGCCCUUAGCAAAUGGAAGUAAAUGCUAAUACUGUCUCAAUGUCACAGGACUGUAAAAAAGGAGAAUCACAGGCUCUAAAGCCAAUUGAAAGUUGUGGAGCCUCUGAUGUGUCCUUGUGUUGCUCAUCAGAACAGCUUGUUCCAAGGCGUAAUGUCUACUUUGAGAAAGCCCCAGCAUGGCUCCUAGGGCUAGGCUGCCACAACACUCAUAAAUCGCAGUGACACUCAUGUUUACAACAUCUCUGUCUGCUCUUCAUAAAUGGAAUUCACACAAUUCAGGUGAGCUGGAGAAUUAGGCUUAUGAGCAUGGCAUCUGGAUAUGAAAGUGAAAAAAUGUCCACGCUGGAAAGAUAUUGGAAAUACCCAGCCCAGUACUCUUAUUCUACCCAUAAAGCAGCUGAAGUUCAAGAUCCUAGCCUGACUCUGGCCCUCAGACUGCCCAUCUGAGGGAAGGGUGAACUCACUCCUCCACUGAGGUUCAUUCUAAUCUAACUAUCUGUGAGACUAGAGGCCCCACUGAGGCUCAAACCCAGCUCUCUGGCCUGGAAGUGCACUAAUCUCUGGACUGGAAGGGAACAUGGCAGAAACAAUAAACAAAAAUGGAGCCAAGCAUGCUUCUUCUAAGACAGGAGAAAGAAGGAUCCAUGGCCCAUUUGGGGGCUACAGAUGGCUGUCUUUUGUUGCAUAAAAUAGAAUCCAUCACGAUUGGUUUCACUUUCCUUCCCACAAAUAAUCCAAACCUUCGGAUCAAGACCCAAGACACAUGCUGUCAGCCAAGUGUGUUGAGCAUACACAGAACAAAGUGAAGGCCAAGCUUUAGGUACUCAGCUCACAAGGAGCUGGUACCCCACGUGGAGAGCAGCAAGAAAUAAACAAAAAGGUGCCAACUCUUCACUAGCCGGCUACACUGUCUUAAUCUUAAUGACAGUGAUUUGAAUGGAAAAGGAAUGCAGGAGCAGGCCAUUUAUCACUCUUAAAUAAUAAGUUAAAGUUACAGAGAUUGAAUUGGGCCAAGACUGGCUUUUAAUACCGAGAGGGGGGAUAAAUCAAUUAUGGAACUCGCACGCCUCCUAGUGGCAUAUCUGGAUUACUGCUGGGGAGGCUUCCUCUCCCACUUGGAACCAUCGGCCCUGCCCCAAGGUUCACCGGGACAUGAUCAGUCCAUAUCAACUGAGAGCUUCCUUUAGACCAGGCUCUGGGCUAUGUGCCAUUGCAUAAUUAGUAUCAUUAAUGCUCACACUAGGUGACUCUCAUUAGACCCAUUUUAUAGACAAUGAAAGAAAAGCUCAAAAAGCUUCCAUCACUUGCCCAGACUUACGGUGGAAAGGAUUCCAACCAAGAUUUGUGGAAUUCCCUGUUCAGAGCUCCCUCCCCAACAUCACACUGAGUACAGAGUGUUGAGGAUACAGAGGUGAAUAAGAUCCAGAACUGUUGGGCCGUUUGAUCUUACCGCGUUCACAUAUUUUAACUGGGCAGGAAGACUCAUAUUAAAUAACCAGAACGCAAAGUCCUAAGUGCUGUUUGCAAAAGGAGUCCAGUUCAUGUGCUCCGGGAUCCCAGUCCUCCCGAACCCCGGAGCAUCCCUGACUCAGCACCCAGGCCCGGGGAAGCAGGGGGCUGGUGCGUAGGCCACUACAUUGUUAGUGA